rfam:Triticum aestivum genome assembly, contig: Triticum_aestivum_CS42_TGACv1_scaffold_432950_5DL
GAUUUAGUGGUGGAGCUCCUAUCAUUCCAAAGAAGGGUCUACCGGAUGGGUUUGUGCAGCUGCUUGUUCAUGGUUCCCACUAUCCUACCUCCGCUAGAAGACGAAGAUAUAGGCUUGUGGUUUGCAUGACCGAGGAGCCGCAUCAAUUCCUCGCUGACCGCUGUUUGGUUUGAAGGGAGCUCUGCAUCUUGACCGC